rnacentral:rRNA from 1 species
UGCCUACGGGGGGCAGCAGUCGGGAAUAUUGCGCAAUGGAGGAAACUCUGACGCAGUGACGCCGCGUAUAGGAAGAAGGUUUUCGGAUUGUAAACUAUUGUCGUGAGGGAAGAAAUUGACAGUACCUCAGGAGGAAGCUCCGGCUAACUAUGUGCCAGCAGCCGCGGUAAUACAUAGGGAGCAAGCGUUAUCCGGAUUUACUGGGUGUAAAGGGCGCGUAGGCGGGAUGGCAAGUCAGAUGUGAAAUCCGGGGGCUCAACCCCUGAACUGCAUUUGAAACUGUCGUUCUUGAGUACUGGAGAGGU